UACGUAGGGUGCGAGCGUUAAUCGGAAUUACUGGGCGUAAAGCGUGCGCAGGCGGCUUUGCAAGACAGAUGUGAAAUCCCCGGGCUCAACCUGGGAACUGCAUUUGUGACUGCAAGGCUAGAGUACGGCAGAGGGGGAUGGAAUUCCGCGUGUAGCAGUGAAAUGCGUAGAUAUGCGGAGGAACACCAAUGGCGAAGGCAAUCCCCUGGGCCUGUACUGACGCUCAUGCACGAAAGCAUGGGUAGCGAACAGG
rnacentral:rRNA from 1 species